GACGAAGGGGGCUAGCGUUGUUCGGAAUUACUGGGCGUAAAGCGCGUGUAGGCGGUUAUCCAAGUCGGGUGUGAAAGCCUUGAGCUCAACUCAAGAAAUGCACUCGGUACUGGGUGACUAGAGGACCGGAGAGGAUAGUGGAAUUCCCAGUGUAGUGGUGAAAUACGUAGAGAUUGGGAAGAACACCAGUGGCGAAGGCGGCUAUCUGGACGGUUUCUGACGCUAAGGCGCGAAAGCUAGGGGAGCAACGGGG
rnacentral:rRNA from 1 species